rnacentral:misc_RNA from 1 species
UCCUUCUUGAUUUUUGUGACUGUGAUGUGACGUUCUUGUCUUAUGACGUUUUAUUGCGAUUUUAAAGAUUUUUUUGAUAAAUUGGAUUAAUUUUUAUACAGUUGUGCCAUAAUGUGUUAAUAUUUUAUAGUGACUCAAGAUGGCUUGCGUCGAGAAUAUACCACCACAAAAUGAUGAUUCAGAGAUGGAAGAGGGAGAAAUUGUAGAUGACUUAGACGAUUUAUCGGAUAUAUCGUCUGAAGAAGAGUUCCUAUUGCGCCAAAGGUUGCAAGUUCUAGAAAAUUACAACAAUGUCCUUGAACGGAAGAAAGCUAAGAACCCAACUUAUGGCUCAGGCAAGCGAAAAGAAGAAAGUUUUUUAAAUGACUUAUCUGAAAUUUCUGCAACUGAACUGGAUGAAAAUUUUCCUCAUGUGACAUCAAAAGCCAAUGUUAUAGUUUAUAGAGAUGUAAAAGACCAAAGAAAUUUAAAGUCAUAUCACAAACAGAAGAAAAAAAAAGACAUAGAUCCUUAUAAUGUAGGCAGAGCUAAAGACUAUAAGAAAAAAGUACAUCGCAAGAAGAGAUUAGAAGUAAAAGUAAUUAGUGAAUCCAGUGAAGAGUCUGAUGAUGAAUACAGGAAUAAAAGGAGAAAAUUGGAAAAUGCUGUCACUCUACACAAGGGAAAAAAUGAUAAAUCUUCCUUACAAGAUAGACUUCAAAAAAUGCUUUGUAAAAAGCCUCUAGAAUUACCAAAACCUGUUGCAACUGAGGAUAAACAAACAGAAACUGAAGUUGUUCCAAAACAUGAAGAUGUCAGUUGUUCGCCUAUAAUACUCAAACCAGAUUUACCAAAUAUUGAACUUGAAUUACAUGACAAAGGUGUGUCAGAAAGCCAAGUUAAUAAUGCACAAAAUGUAUAUGAGUCAAUAGACUUAUGUACAGAUGAUGAUGUUAGUUUUACAAAAGUACACCAAUCUGUAGAUGCCGUUGAUUCAGUUACCAAUAAACAGCAUGAAAUUGAACUGGAAAAGGAAGUAGAAAGUGACUCAGAUGAGGAUUUAGAAAUGUUAAGACAGCAUGCUCUCCAGACAAAAGUUUCCAAGACCAAAACUGAUCAAAUUGUACCAACUGAACCUGAAAAACCACUACUUAUGUCUGAAGACGAAGAUAGCGACACAGCAGAACUGAGGCUAAUUUGUCUUAAAUCUGCAUUGUUGAAGAAAGCUAUUGAAAUGAAACAAAAGCAAAAAUUACGGAAAAGGUUAUCUCAGUCUUCCAAUUUACACGAUGACUUUCUCCACGAAAAAGAUGAGCUUAUGGAUAAAAUAGAAUCUGAAAAUAAUACUGAUAUUGAGGCCAUGGAUAUGGAUAUUGGUUCUGAUGGAGAUGAAAAAUCCAAUAUUUGUAGUGAUAAUGUGAAAGAAAUGGUUUCAGAAAAAAGUACUGGUGCAUUUGUUGAAAGAAUGAACAGUAUGAAAGAACGAAGUCAACUCAAAGAGGACGAAUUAGAAGAAGAUGAGGAUUUAUUACGUGCUAGAUUAUUAACAUCUUUGAGUAAGAAUUUGCCUAAUCUAGUUGAUCCAAGUGUCAUCAAUACAAUUGAACAAGAGACAAAACCAGAAAGUACUCCACCAGCUGCACCUAAAACUCAGCAGCCAGAAAAUAGAAUUAUUAUUAAUCUUGGUGAAUCAGAUUCUGAAGGUGAAGAACAUGAGGCUACUAAGAAUUUGACCAAAAUGCAUGCGAAGUUGUCAGAACAAAUAGAUUUUCAGCAAAAGCUUGAUAUGUUUUUGAAAUCAACAAGAAUGGAAGUUGAAGGUCAAAAAUUGCCAGAUGUUGUACAAAAUCCUGUGGCUAAACCUAAGGAGAAGUUUGUUGCUAAGACCGUGAAUCACUUGCCGAAAUCAGAACAGAUAGAAUACAAAAACUUAGUUAAAAGAAUGGCUGAACUGGAGAAGAUAAAACAAGCACGGCAAUCUUCCAUGAUUCUUGCAAAACAAUUACAAGCAAAAGACACAUUGAAGCCAAGAAAUGUGUCUUUAGAUACUACAAAAAUUAUCGCUAUAAAUAAGUUAGAAGAACAAAUUGCAUUAUCUAGGAAAACAAUAGCAGAAGAAUCUGCUAAAAUGAUGAAACUGAAAGAGGAGUCGACUAAGUUAUCACAAAAAUAUAAAAUUGUUGCAACUGAAUUAAAAAAUAUUGCUACAGCUAUAACUUUGAAUAAAAAAGAACAGAGGUGUGUCCAAAACAAACUGGCUAAAAUUCGAAUUCAGCAUCAAAGAUUGUUGAACAGCUCAACUAACAAACAUUCCAAAUCAAAUGGUAAUAUACUGACUGUUAAUCGGCCGAGUAAUAGAGUCAUGUCAACAGCAAAGUUGCAAAAAGAAAAUAAUCCAGAAGACAAUAAAACGUCUGAAAUAUUUAAAACCAUCCAAGUCAAUGUGGUCAAUGAUAAGUUUCAAAACGAUAUACUUGGACCUCACGUCAAACUAUGUGUGAAACUGGAUUUAAAUAGAAGUAACCAGAAACAUACAGAACGAAUUGUUGAUGUUGUAAAGCAGUGUGACGCAAAUGAUGACGCCGAGAAUUUGAAAGAGGGUGACGUAAGUCGGCCAGUGGUGGAAAAAGGCGGAGGGAGAAGAGGUUCUGAUGCAACAAGUACUACAGAACAAAAGAAUGACAGAAGAAAGGAGUUAGAUGAUUAUGAGUCCCCACUACAGGCCUUCGACAGUGUAAACUGGGAGGGUGACCCGAAUGCCAUCUUGUGCCCUUUCGAAGUCGGCGGCAAUUGCAAGGAUCCUGAUUGCAAAUAUUUGCACCCCAAAGUCCCCUCUCAAUGACACUCAACAAGUACACAUAACAUUUAUACAUACAUACGUAAGACACAGAACAAUUUAUCUUUAUUUCCUGACUCCUUCGACAGCAAACGGACUCUACAAUGAUGUGUAAAGUAUAUUAUUUUACGGCUUCCUUCAUCUCAAAUAUUAUUUUCAUGCAUGCCUAUUAUUUGUUUUAGCAAAAGUAUCCUAUCACAUUUUUGUCAUUCACAUUGUGUUCCAUAUAUUCCUGUUUAAGUAUAUAAUACUUACAGAUAGCAUUAUCAACUUUACCUACGUCUACACAUUUAUCGCAAGGCGAUAACAAUUUUUAUUUUGCAUUUUUUUUCCAUAAAAACAUACCUACAUUCAAUAUACAGUUCAUUUUUGCAAAGUAAAAGUGACUAUAAAACACGUACUAGUUAUCCAUAGAAUGUAGCGUUGAAUAUUUAUCUGUAAUGAAAUCAAUCAACUUGAUACAGGGUGGUGCAAUUUGGUGCCGAUGGCAGCCCAUCAUCGCUUCGGUGGCAGUGGUAAGUGACACGUGUAAUAUAGGUAUUAGUGCAUUAGUAGUGCUCUGUGCUCUGUACUUCACGAGACCCAGGACUUCGCCAUGGUAACGUGUUCAUACUACCAGACAAUUUAUAGUUAAGGUUAUUUUAAUAUUGAGACGUUAAAAAAUAUUGUACACUAUGUAAAAAAGUAUGAAAUAAAUAUUUAAAUUACUGUCAA